GAUGAACGCUGGCGGCGUGCCUAAUACAUGCAAGUCGAGCGAACAGACGAGGAGCUUGCUCCUCUGACGUUAGCGGCGGACGGGUGAGUAACACGUGGAUAACCUACCUAUAAGACUGGGAUAACUUCGGGAAACCGGCGCUAAUACCGGAUCAUAUAUUGAACCGCUUGGUUAAAUAGUGAUAGACGGUUUUCCUGUCCCUUAUCGAUGGAUCCCCGCCGCAUUGGCUAGUUGGUAAGGUAACGGCUUACCAUGGGAACGAUGCGUAGCCGACCUGAGAGGGUGCUCGGCCCCAGCGGAACUGCGAUCCGGUCCAGCCUCCGUGGGGCGGCAGCGCUAGGAACUCUGCCGCAAGGGGCGAAAGCCUGACGGAGCAACGCCGCGUGAGUGAUAAAGGGCCUCGGUUCGUAAAACUCUGUAGUUAGGGAAGAACAAAUGUGUAAGUAACUAUGCACGUCUUGCCGGUCCCUAAUAAGAAGCCCACGGCUAUCUGCGU
rnacentral:rRNA from 1 species